AACGAAUUUUCUUUACUACGAUAACGCAUAUGAUUGGCCAUAUGACGUCUAUGAUACAUUUAGAUCAGACGUUCCACAAACAGUAGACUUUGAUAUUCAACGCACAGGAUCAAUCAUUUACUUUUAUAUAUGGUUUGAUUCUACAAAUCCUUUCGAAUUUGAUCUAUGUGAGAUAGAAAUAAUUGGUUGUGAAGCUGACCGUUAUGGUGAGGACUGUCUGCCCUGUAAUAAGUCUGAGAAUUGUGAAGUUUGUGACGUUAACAAUGGAGCAUGCUAUGUCUGCAGAGAAGGUUACACUGGACCUAACUGUACUCUGAAUAAUGAAAAUGUCGUAUUACAAAGCUAUACUUUGCUGUAUUCCUCGGAUAAAUUUCCGUACUAUAUACCUUCCUAUCGUCUGUUUGAUGGAUCCACUACAUAGCCCAGCUGCAUUGAUUUUACCUCUUCUUCGACCGAAAAGACGUAUUACUUGAACAUUUACUCGAUGAGUUUAUGGAAUUUAAUUCGCAACAUCAAAGACAUACGUUUUU